rnacentral:rRNA from 1 species
GACGAACGCUGGCGGCGUGCUUAACACAUGCAAGUCGAACGGAAAGGCCCUGCUUUUGUGGGGUGCUCGAGUGGCGAACGGGUGAGUAACACGUGAGUAACCUGCCCUUGACUUUGGGAUAACUUCAGGAAACUGGGGCUAAUACCGGAUAGGAGCUCCUGCUGCAUGGUGGGGGUUGGAAAGUUUCGGCGGUUGGGGAUGGACUCGCGGCUUAUCAGCUUGUUGGUGGGGUAGUGGCUUACCAAGGCUUUGACGGGUAGCCGGCCUGAGAGGGUGACCGGCCACAUUGGGACUGAGAUACGGCCCAGACUCCUACGGGAGGCAGCAGUGGGGAAUAUUGCACAAUGGGCGGAAGCCUGAUGCAGCAACGCCGCGUGCGGGAUGACGGCCUUCGGGUUGUAAACCGCUUUCGCCUG